rnacentral:rRNA from 1 species
GACGGAAGGUGCAAGCGUUGCUCGGAAUCACUGGGCGUAAAGGGUGCGUAGGCGGCUUGGUAAGUUGGGUGUGAAAGCCCCGGGCUCAGCCCGGGAAGGGCACUCGAAACUGCCGAGCUGGAGUGCCGGAGGGGAGAGUGGAAUUCCUGGUGUAGCGGUGAAAUGCGCAGAUAUCAGGAGGAACACCUAUUGCGAAGGCAGCUCGCUGGGACGUAACUGACGCUGAGACGCGAAAGCGUGGGGAGCAAACAGG